rnacentral:rRNA from 1 species
UACGGGGGGGGCAAGCGUUGUUCGGAAUUACUGGGCGUAAAGGGCUCGUAGGCGGCCAACUAAGUCGGACGUGAAAGCCCUCGGCUUAACCGAGGAACUGCGUCCGAUACUGGAUGGCUUGAGGUUGGGAGAGGGAUGCGGAAUUCCAGGUGUAGCGGUGAAAUGCGUAGAUAUCUGGAGGAACACCCGUGGCGAAGGCGGCUCUCUGGGACGGUACUGACGCUGAGACGCGAAAGCGUGGGGAGCGAACAGG